rnacentral:rRNA from 1 species
CCUACGGGAGGCAGCAGUGGGGAAUCUUCCGCAAUGGGCGAAAGCCUGACGGAGCAACGCCGCGUGAUCGAAUGAAGGCCUUCGGGUUGUAAAGCUCUGUUGUCAGGGACGAAUAAGCAAUGCAAAUAGUUUUAUGUAUGACGGUACCUGUCUAGAAAGCUCCGGCUAACUACGUGCCAGCAGCCGCGGUAAUCCGUAGGGCGCAAGCGUUGUCCGGAAUUAUUGGGCGUAAAGGGCGCGUAGGUGGGCGCUUAAGUCAGGUGUGAAAGCUCGGGGCUCAACCUGGGGACUGCACUUGAAACUGGGUGUCUUGAGGGCAGGAGAGGGAAGUGGAAUUCCUAGUGUAGCGGUGAAAUGCGUAGAUAUUAGGAGGAACACCAGUGGCGAAGGCGACUUUCUGGACUGUACCUGACGCUGAGGCACGAAAGCGUGGGUAGCGAACGGGAUUAGAUACCCGGGUAGUC